GUGAGGAAUUUUCCGCAAUGGGCGAAAGCCUGACGGAGCAAUGCCGCGUGAAGGAUGAAGGCCUAUGGGUUGUAAACUUCUUUUCUCAGAAAAGAAUUAUGACGGUAUCUGAUGAAUAAGCAUCGGCUAACUCUGUGCCAGCAGCCGCGGUAAGACAGAGGAUGCAAGCGUUAUCCGGAAUGAUUGGGCGUAAAGCGUCUGUAGGUUGUUUAAAAAGUAUUCUGUCAAAGAUUAGGGCUUAACCCUAGAUAGGCAGAAUAAACUUUUAAGCUAGAGUUUGGUAGAGGCAGAGGGAAUUCCCGGUGGAGCGGUGAAAUGCGUAGAUAUCGGGAGGAACACCAAAGGCGAAGGCACUCUGCUGGGCCAAUACUAACACUGAGAGACGAAAGCGAGGGGAGCAAAUGGGAUUAGAUACCCUAGUAGUCC
rnacentral:rRNA from 1 species